CUCAGAAUCAACGCUGGCGGCGUGCCUAACACAUGCAAGUCGAGCGCGAACGGGGACUUCGGUUCCCUAGUAGAGCGGCGAACGGGUGAGUAACACGUGGGUAAUCUGCCUCCGGGUGGGGAAUAACUCAGGGAAACUUGAGCUAAUUCCGCAUAACGUGGCCGAUCACAGGAUCGGCUACCAAAGCUGGGGACCCUUCGGGGCCUGGCGCCUGGAGAGGAGCCCGCGGCCAAUUAGCUUGUUGGUGAGGUAAUGGCUCACCAAGGCUCCGAUUGGUAGCCGGCCUGAGAGGGCGGACGGUCACACUGGAACUGAGACACGGUCCAGACUCCUACGGGAGGCAGCAGUGAGGAAUUUUCGUCAAUGGGGGAAACCCUGAACGAGCAACGCCGCGUGGAGGACGAAGACCUUCGGGUUGUAAACUCCUGUCGGACGGGACGAAAGUUACCGAGGUCAAUACCCUUGGUAGUUGACGGUACCGUACGAGGAAGCCCCGGCUAACUUCGUGCCAGCAGCCGCGGUAAUACGAGGGGGGCAAGCGUUGUUCGGAAUUACUGGGCGUAAAGGGCGCGUAGGCGGUCUGACAAGUCUUCCGUGGAAGCCCACGGCUCAACCGUGGAACUGCGGGGGAAACUGCCAGACUUGAGUCCGGGAGGGGAGAGUGGAAUUCCCA
rnacentral:rRNA from 1 species